UCGCUCUUGUUGCCCAGGCUGGAGUGCAAUGGCGCGAUCUCGGCGCACUGUAACCUCUGCUUCCCAGGAGUAAUUUUUACCCAGUAAGAAAUGUAUCCUAGUUAUUGUCUUCCUGAGCUCCUCUACCUUUUCCUCUUAAAUUUGCAAUUUCUGAUGUUCCUACAGGGCAUGGAAUCUGAUGGGUUGGUCCAUAAAUAUUGACAAAACAGAAAGAAGAAAAACGAAAGAAACAAGCUUACCACUUCACCUUAUGUGUGAACCUAAAACUCAGUCAUACAAUAUUUCUCUUUACCGGCAUAAGAUGGAAAGAGAGAAUUAAAUAAGCCCUUUUAAAAUUCUUAGGCACUCCUUAUAAUGUCUCAGCUGAGGCUCAGACACACACAUCAGCCUAGACCUACACAGGAUCAGGAUCAUCAAGGUCACUGUCUUCCGACUCCACAUCUUGUCCCACUGGAAGGGGCAGAAACACACACGGAGCUGUCAUCUCUUAUGAUAACAACACCUUGCGUACAUCCUGAAAGACCUACUUGAGGCUGUUUUACAGAUAAGUGGUUUUCUUUAACAUGCAGAUAGAAUAUAUUCUCAAAUAAUUAUAAAAAGUAUAGUACAGUAAAUACAUAAACCAGGAACACAGUCAUUUAUUUUCACUACCAAGAAUUAUAUACUCCACAUAGUUGUAUGUUCUAUAUAGUACUUUAACAUAACUGGAAAACCAGUAGAUUUCUUUCCAUCAGCAUCAUCACUGAUGCCAGUGUAAUGUGUUACACUACACACUUGUGACAGCUACAAGACACUAGGUGAUAGGACUUUUUAAGCUCUAGUAUAAUCCUAUGAGACUGCCAUCAGACACGCUAUCCAUCAUUGACCAGAAUGUUAUUAUAUAUUACAUGACUGUAUUAUGAAUGCUCAAAGCAGCAUUAUUCAUAAUACAAAAAACAGAAAUAAUUAAAUGUCCAUCAACUGAUGAAUGAAUAAACACUGUUUAUAUAUCCACACAAUGGACUAUGAAUCUAUGAAAAGGAAAACACAUGACCGGCACAUGCUAAAGUAGCAAUUAACUUCAAAAAUAGUAUCUUAAAUGAAAGAAGUCAGGCUCCCAAUAUAAUAUGUUGCAUGAUUCCAUUUCUAUUACACAGAUGGGAAAUUUAUACAGACAGAGUAUCAGAGCAGUAUUGCUUAGGGCUGGAGAUGGGAGUAGGGAUGGACAUGGGCAGGAGGGGACUUCAGUGAGAGAAAUAUUUUUAAGUGAGAUCAUGGUGAUGGCUGCACACAGUGUCAAUUUAAUGAAUCAUCAAUUAUAUACCUUUAUAGUUGGGUGAACUUUAUGAUAGGUUCACACCCAAUAUGGUGUGUGCACCAUGCAAUAAUGUUAUGGAAAUUCUUACGUGGUUUUUAACCAGCCAAGAUAUAUGCUGUUUAAGCAACAUUAAUUCAGAUGGUUGCGAUAAGUCAUUUAAAGUUUAUAAGGUAGUUGUCCUAUAAAUAUAUGGCGAAUGUUAUUCCAUGAGUUUCCUGUAUCUAUUGCAAUAAUCAUAUUUUUUCUCUAUUAAUCUCUUACGGUGGCUAAUUUUAUUUAUUGCAUUUACAAUGUUAAUCUACCAUGUCAUAUUUUGAAAUCAUAUUGGUCAGAAUUUAUGGUAUUAAGUCCUCCUUGAAUUUUUUUUUUUAGAACUUACUUCUAGGAAUUUAUAUGAGGUACAGUCCAUAAAGAAUUGUUUUAAUUCCUCAUACAUGUCUUCAAUGGGUAUAGAAUUGGUCAUACUUUUCUGCUUGGAUUUCAACAAGAAACUUACCUCUUAUCUCUUUGGCAGGUAGGCAGACGUGACUUUUCCUAUUUUCUAAAUGGAGACUGUGGGCAAAUGCAGGUCUUGCCUUACAUGUCACUUUCUCCAGGAAGCUCCCGUGGCCUCUCAAAAAUGUCACCUGGAUGGCAUUUCCACCCAUUCUAAUGCUGCUUAUGCUCAUGUGGAUCAUUCUGUUGGCACGCCUCUGUCUCACGGUGCAAUGAAAGUUGUGUGGCAGCAAGGUCAGGCUUUCUUGUCUCUCAUGAAAGCAUAUUCCUGCCUAUAGCCCCAGCACCUACCAGUGUCUGGCUCCCAGGAUGAUCUCAAUACAUUUUGGUGGACAGAAAAAAUGAAAGGACAGGGGGAAGAAAACAACCAGCCAAAGUCUAAGAGCCUAUGGCUGGGCUACAGCAAAGUCUUGGCAUGUUCUACAAUGCACGUCGCCACAUUUGCGGAAACACACAACUGCCUCUUCUGUUCAAAGAUGACCCUUCUUAUGGGAAACAAAUGGAAGUUUCUCCCCAUGUGCAGGUGUGUAAAAUCGUUUAAAUAAAAAAAUACAUCAAAUGUUUUAAGACUCAGAUGGUAACAUGAGUGCAUCAACAACUUUACACAUUUCCACUGAUUUUAGUUUGAGGACUGCCUGAGGAAUCACCAUUUAUUAGGUUGCACGUACAGAGGAAGAGAGAUUGUUGUUUAAAAUAAUAAAAGCAUUGAUGGUAGCGAGAAAAGAAGGAAGACACCUUGGCUGAUAGUUAACAGAAACACAAUGAUCAAAGAACACAACAGUCAAAAGUACCAGACAGAAGGGGGCUCUGGAAAUGUCAUCAAAGCCACAAUGACCAGGCUAUUCAAAGAAGUGUGAUCAGCAUCAGCUGGCUACUCAGGUCCCUUGCCCUUUCAUUUACUACCUCUAAACAAAUCACGUUUCUCUGGUAGGAGAGGUAUUUAUAACCCAGCAUAGACCUAGGCCUGCCUCUGAAUAGAGUGAACAACCUGUCUAUGUGGGGACACACCUUGUCUUGUGGCCUGAGAUGAGGAAGCCAGGCCUGGAGGUGACUUGUGGAUCUCCACACCUGACGCUGGAAGCAGGAGCCAGCACUACCCAAGGGUAGGAUGUUCUAAAGCUCAUGACCCCAAAAUACAGCCUUCCUGCUUUUGUUUGUUUGUUCCAAGAAUAUGAGGGGUUCACCCUAGCCACUCCCACCUAUGCACCGCAGGGAAUCUGCUCUGUUGACACCCCUGGCCACUGACAGCAUCUGUAGAAGCCCACACUUGGCCAUCCCAGCCAAGACCUUUAAGACCUGCUCAGGAAUCAGACCUUUCCGGUUGCAGCAGAAACCCAUUUGGCCACCUAUACUAUUCAGCCUCCUCCUUGUUCAUAAAAAUGGACAGCCAAUGACCACCCAGUCACAUAAGGAAAUGCAACAGCAAUAAAGGAAAGGACAAAGAUGUAAAUAGAAAGUGAGGCAGAAUCUGAGCACAAGAGAACACACUAGCCCUGGGAGAAACAGAUAAUUCAUGGACGAGAAACCUUCAAACAGGUAAUUCAUGAACAAAAAACAUUCAAAGGAUAUUACAUCAUAUUAUGUUAAAUAUUACAACAUAGUCUAGUUCAACAAAGAACAAAUUGGCAAGACAAAAAGUGGAAAUCAAAAAUGUCAAAGAACUACUGAAAAAGUAAAAAUAAUACCUGUUGAAAUUAGUAAUUUACAUGGGCCAGGGGUGAGGAUGGGGGCAGGUUCAUCACAAAGGGGUCAGUUUGAGUGAUGAAAUGUUCUACAUUUUGAUCAUGGUCGUGGUUACUUGACUACAGGUGUUUGUCAAAACUCAUAGAACCAUAUUCUAGAAUAAAUUUUACUCUAGAAAAA